rnacentral:sRNA from 1 species
UCUGUCUGUCUCUCUUUGCCUCUUGCCUGCUGAUUCAGAUGCAGAAUUCCCAGCUCAUUCUGCUGCACCAUGUCUGCCCACACACCACCAUGCUCCCCGCCAUGAUGAUAAUGAACUAAGCCUCUAAACUGUAGGCCAGUCCCAACUAAACGUUUUCCUUUAUAAGAGUUGCCAUAACCCUGGCAUUUCUUCCCAGCAACGGAACACUGACUAAGAGAGCCGUUAAUCUCUUUUCUGAUGUUCAGGAAUGUUUUUGUUAGUGAGAAUAACGAUGACAGCGCCACUCUGCCGUAAGUGGGCUUAUUACAUCCACUUCGGUCAGCCCUUGAGGACGUCUGUAACAUUGGAGGGCAGAGCUGCAGACCUCUUGUCUAGUAGGUGGCAGACCCAAGGUGUGGCUCUAGGGCUCACAUCCCUGCACCCAAGCUAAGAGGCUGUUCAGUUGUGCAAAUCUUUGUGCUGUGAGGAACUCCUAAAGGUUUGUGUCCUGGACCCUAUUGGUGGAUUCAGUCUUGGCAAGCUCCCGCUGGAGGACCUCAACCCUUCUUUCCCUUGUGGCUGGUUUUCUGGGGCUUCCCUUGUGUUCUCUAUGCAUUUUAUCCAUCAUAUUUGCAUACCACAAACCUGUUUUUGCUGGUUAGAACUUCCUUAGGAGAAAAGAAUUGUAUGCUGUUAAAGUAAACUGUCUCCUUAGCUCUGCCAUGAUCACCAAAACACCCCCCAAAAUGAUCUAAGUAGAAACCAAUAUGCUUGCUACGGAGAACCUAUUUUGAGGUAAGCUUCUUCCUUUCAGGACUAGACUAGGGCCAUCAACUUCUUCUACGUGGGAAAAUGUCACAACGUCAUGACAUCACAUUGAGCACUGUACCUCCAUUCUCCUAAAUGACAGAGCAUCAGCAGUCAAUGAACAAGAACUUUUAUUUUAUUUUUUAUUUUUUGCUAGACACUGUUCUUAGGCUCUGGAGUCACAGCGGUGAUCAAAACAGUUUGACGACGUGCGAAUGCUAUGGGAUGAUAAAAUUUAAUGUCAUAUAGUCUACACUCUGUGCUGACAAGUGAGGCCUGCCUGGGAUCAAUGAGACUCCUGUCUCAAACCCCAGACCAAACCAGACCAGACCAGACCAGACCAGACCAGACCAGACCAGACCAGACCAGACCAGACCAGACCAGACCCGAGACUGCUUUGUGCUGACAGUUCAUUUCACGAAGUGGAGUGCCAAGGAAACCAGUUCUUUUUUUCGGAGCUGGGGACCGAACCCAGGGCCUUACGCUUCCUAGCCAGUUAUCAAAGGAUGCUGGGUUAGGAACCUGAAGGCAGGGACUGAAGCAGAGGACACAGAAGAACACCGACUCCUUGCAUCUUGAUCAGCCUAGAUUCUUAGACCAAUCAGGACCAUCUCACCAGCCAACACCCUGUCUUUUAUUUUUGAAGUUGGUUUCAUUUUGCCAUGCUGUGGGUCAGGAUGACCUUGAUUUCGAUAUCCCAGCCACCACCUCCUGAGUCCUGGCAUUACAGUCUUUAAGAGCCUUGACAUUCCGGAAAGCAUCCGGGACUGGACAAUGAGGUUCAAGACAAAGCCAGCUUCAGUGAUGCCGGCCCUCACCAUGGAAGGGAACGCGGACAGAAUUCACCAGCAAUUAAUCAGAUGCGUCUGGUGCACACAGCAGGUGCCUCAUAAGCACCUGAAUGGAUGGACAGUAGCAGACACUGUAGCUCACACCCACUUCAUGCCUUUAGUUUUAUUCCGAGCUGCUCACUGUGGGGUGAUUGGCUUUGUGGUGGGCAAACGGUGAGGGGAUACAACUGGCGUCCUCGAGGAAUGAUCAGUGCUUGCAGAGAGCCUGGAGAGGGACACCAGCCGAUGUUCUCAGAGCCUAGCGUCAUGGUGCACACACAUAAUCCCAACCCUUGAGAGGAUAAGAAGGCAGACCCAAGAGCCUGAGGCCACCUGAGCUGUAUAACAAGAACCAAAGAAGCUACAAAGACAAAGCUCAGCGGAACAGUACUAGCCUAGCAUGCCUGACGCCCUGGAUUCCUAUCCCCCUGCACUGUCAAGAAAAGAGACCCCUGAAAGCCCAUUCCAGCACAUUUCUGUAACAUCACCCAGUUCAAGUGAGGAACCAUUCUCAGUAUCAGGGACUUUUCUAAAAGAAAAAUUUCCUAGGAAAAAUUUGGUCUCCCCGAGAGCUCUCUGUAGCUGGAAACAUUGAUAGACAAGUAGUCUUGUUUAACAGAGCUCCGGCUAGGACUAGCAAGCUCCCCACUUGGGCACCCUUCGGACCUUAGCCCUCUUCUGGGCUGUGGUGGAUAGUCUUCCUGUGGAGCAGAGGAAGACCUGAGCCAGUGAAGUGUAUUUUGACACGGGCAUGGCUGUGUCAAGGAAGCCCAAGGCCUUGGCCCAUGGGACAAUUGACAAAGCCAUCCCUCCUAUGGCUCAUGCUCAAGAGAAAUAGCCAAGCUUUUCUCAGGAAUCUGAGUGUGAGUGGUUAUGGAUGAUUGAUCAAGGUAUGCAAAGACUUGGAACUAUGGCUUCCUUCUCCUGGGUGUUUACAGCCUGAGACUGCUGACUACAGAGACCUCCCAAAGAGACAAGUUAACCUUUGCCCACCCCUUCCCCGUGCUGUACCUAAUUAGCACAUUGGGGAUACAGCUUGCUGUUAGCAGAACCCUUCCUGGUCCGAGCUUUACUGCAUGAGUGUCUGUGUGUCUGUCCUUUCCUCAUUACUAUGGUGCCACUCCUUGCCAGGGUGAUUGGACCCAAGCCAUGAAGGUUGGGUGGGAUUGGAUUAAGAGCCCCAUAGAGAGAUGACGUCUAAUCUUCUGGGCGUGACCCUGUGAGUGUUUCCAGAGAACAAUUAGCACGUGGGUGAGUGAACUAAGAGGGUAGAGACUCUGUGUGAGACUGUGAUGACGCCACAGGCUUUUACAAAUUUGUCCAGAUGUGUAGACUAUAGAACACCAUGAGCGGAGUCUAAUGAACAUCAAGUACAGUGAGUGACAGUGGUGUGCUGUUAUGAGUUCAUCAGUAACAAAUAUAUCAGUCUGAUGAGGACGCUGAUAUGAGGAUGCUACACAUGGGUGGAGGCAAGGAACAUAUGGGAAAUUCCAGUACCCUUUUUUUUUUAAAUUCAAAUUUACUAUCAACAUAAACUUGCUUUAAAAUUGUAGUCUUGGUCUGGAGAGAUGUCUCAGCAGUUAAGAGAGCUGGCUGCUCUCCCAGAAGACCUGGUUUGGUUCCCAGUACCCACACGGUGGCUCACAGCUAACUGUAGCUCCUGUUCCAGGGGAGCUGAUGUCUUCUGAUCUCAGUGAAAGUCAGGCAUGCAUGUGGUGUCCAGACAGGCAUGAGUGCAAAACACCUUAAAAAAAAAAUAGAAUAAUAUCUAAGAACUAAAUAAAAAGAACUGCUCUU